GACAGAGGGGGCAAGCGUUGUUCGGAAUUACUGGGCGUAAAGGGCGCGUAGGCGGCCUUCUAAGUCGAACGUGAAAUCCCCGGGCUCAACCCGGGAACUGCGUCCGAUACUGGAAGGCUUGAAUCCGGGAGAGGGAUGCGGAGUUCCAGGUGUAGCGGUGAAAUUCGUAGAUAUUAGGAAGAACACCGGUGGCGAAGGCGGCCCACUGGAUCGGUACUGACGCUGAGGUGCGAAAGCGUGGGGAGCAAACAGG
rnacentral:rRNA from 1 species